rnacentral:rRNA from 1 species
AUUGAACGCUAGCGGGAUGCUUUACACAUGCAAGUCGAACGGCAGCGCGGACUUCGGUCUGGCGGCGAGUGGCGAACGGGUGAGUAAUGUAUCGGAACGUGCCCAGUAGCGGGGGAUAACUACGCGAAAGCGUAGCUAAUACCGCAUACGCCCUACGGGGGAAAGCAGGGGAUCGUAAGACCUUGCACUAUUGGAGCGGCCGAUAUCGGAUUAGCUAGUUGGCGAGGUAACGGCUCACCAAGGCGACGAUCCGUAGCUGGUUUGAGAGGACGACCAGCCACACUGGGACUGAGACACGGCCCAGACUCCUACGGGAGGCAGCAGUUGGGAAUUUUGGGCAAUGGGGGCAACCCUGAUCCAGCCAUCCCGCGUAUGCGAUGAAGGCCUUCGGGUUGUAAAGCACUUUUGGCAGGAAAGAAACGUCGCGGGCUAAUACCCCGUGGAACUGACGGUACCUGCAGAAUAAGCACCGGCUAACUACGUG